rnacentral:rRNA from 1 species
UACGUAGGGGGCUAGCGUUGUCCGGAAUCAUUGGGCGUAAAGAGCGUGUAGGCGGCCCGGUAAGUCCGCUGUGAAAGUCGGGGGCUCAACCCUCGGAUGCCGGUGGAUACUGUCGGGCUCGAGUACGGAAGAGGCGAGUGGAAUUCCUGGUGUAGCGGUGAAAUGCGCAGAUAUCAGGAGGAACACCUAUUGCGAAGGCAGCUCGCUGGGACGUUACUGACGCUGAGACGCGAAAGCGUGGGUAGCAAACAGG